GACAGAGGUGCCAAGCGUUAGGCGGAAUCACUGGGCUUAAAGCGUGUGUAGGCGGACCGUUAAGUACCUUGUGAAAUCCCACGGCUCAACCGUGGAACUGCUGGGUAUACUGGCGGUCUUGAGCCACCUAGGGGCGAGCGGAACAAGCGGUGGAGCGGUGAAAUGCGUAGAUAUCUGGAGGAACACCGGUGGCGAAGGCGGCAUCCUGGACCGAUACUGACGCUGAGGCGCGAAAGCGUGGGGAGCGAACAGG
rnacentral:rRNA from 1 species